rnacentral:rRNA from 1 species
CUACGGAGGGUGCAAGCGUUACUCGGAAUCACUGGGCGUAAAGCGCGCGCAGGCGGCUAUUUAAGUUGGAUGUGAAAGCCUACGGCUCAACCGUAGAACUGCAUCCAAAACUAUUUAGCUAGAGUGUGGGAGAGGAAGAUGGAAUUAGUUGUGUAGGGGUAAAAUCCGUAGAGAUAACUAGGAAUACCAAAAGCGAAGGCAAUCUUCUGGAACACUACUGACGCUGAGGCGCGAAAGCGUGGGGAGCAAACGGAAUUAGAAACCCUAGUAGUCC